rnacentral:lncRNA from 1 species
CAGCCACAGAUUCCCAUCCAGAAUCCUGGAGGAGGAAACACAGGGCUGCGUCCUAGGAGGCCCAGGAAGCCUGGUCAGCCUGGAGGCUAAGGGUGGGCCCGGGAGAUCUGGGAAGCACAUCAGUGUCUCCACGAAGAGCAGCAGGGUCUCAGCCCACGGCAGCCGCAGCCCCCAGAGCCGCCGCAACAGCUCGUUGUUCUGGGGGGUCGAAGGUGGAGGCUGUCAGAGGGGCAGUGCAGGGGGCUGCUGGGGUGAAGCCCCCUGUAGCGGCAGCACCCAUCGUGCUGUGGCUCUGCCUCCUGCCCCCUGCCCUCCUGGACCCUCUGCCCUCCUGGACGCCCUGUCUGUGGCCCCUGCUCCUCUCCUCCUUCACUGAUACAUGACUGGGCCCCUGAUCUGCAGCCGGGGUCUGGGUACUGGGGGUCCUGUGGACCUCUCGGUGUCUGGGGACAAUCACAGUUUCCCGUGCCCACACCCAGCCUCUGCUUCCAGAACACACUAGAGGGUCCCGGCAUCCUGAUGAGUCCACUGUCCCCGUGAUGGUUUUCAAGGAUGGAGAAGGCUCCCUGUUCUCCGCUGGAACCCUGCAGCCGGGCUGAUGGUACCCCCACCACCCGCCCAGGGGCCCCCAGACCCUCCCCAUCUCCACCGCCAACCCAGGCCCGGGCUGCCCACCCGGGGCCAGGCCGUGAGCUGCUGUCCCCAGAUGGGGCCGCCCCGGGCUGGCCUGGCUCACUCCGUGUCACAGAUAUUCCCACAGAGACCCCAGCGAGACCUGCAGAACAUUACAGCAAAAUGAAGGAAAGCCAGAGGAAGAGGCAGAUGUGCUGGCCUGUAAACAGUCUGAUUUCCAAUGUAAACCAGAUUCAGGCCCACGACAUCAGGUAAACAUCUGCAUCAGAGCCCCCGGCCCCCCACCGCCCGGGAGGCCCCGGGGUCCACACGGCCGACUCUGGGACCCGUCACAGUGACCGCCGAGACAUUUCGUAAUUAGGCAAAAUUGAUCCUUGCAUUCCUUCCCUAAAUCCCAAAUCUCUGCAAUUUUACUUCUUCUCAAAAAUGAAAACAUUUGGCAAUUAGCUGAUCCAAGUGAAAAAGGUAGAGAAUGUGCUCUCAACUGGAAAAUGCCAAUUAAGGAAGCAGCUCUGACUUCCCACCCGCCCUGGCUAAGCUGGGAGCUUAUCUUCCCCGAGAAGAAUCUGCUGGGAUAAGGGGGCUUGGGAAACACCGAGGGCAGGGCUGCCUCCUCAGCUUCCUCUGAGAGCAGAUUAGCCGUGGCCUUGUGCCAGCAGGGCCUGGGUGCCGCACCGGGUGGCAGGGGGUGGCAGAGCUGGGCCCGGCUCCGGCAGUGGGAUUUGGGGUGGUGGGACCCAGUGGGGCACCUGCUUGUGGGCAGCACUGAGGGCGGUGACGUAGGCAGCGAGUGCCGGUGUCUGCCCCUCCAUCUGGCCGGGUUCCCCACCCUGCUCCUGCAGCCCUGGACCUCAGGGCCCAUUUGCAGUGCAAGGCGGCUCUUCGCCAUUUUGCCCGCAGGGCCCUACCUUGGAUCUUGGGAGCUUCUGUCCCUUGCCCUCUCUUGUCCAGGUCAGCAUCUCCCACUGUGGGAAUCCUAUGUGGCCCCAUCAUCUGGACAGUGUGGGUCGGGUCACUGUGGCUGUUUUGUGUUGUGUGUGUGGGCUCAUCCCUCAGUGCUCAGAAGCUGCAGACACUAUGGAACUGCUUUUCAGGCUCCACGGCCGUCACCCCCUCUAGAGACUUGAUUGUCUCUAGACAUGCCGGGCCGGCCUAGCUGCAUCCAUCAUUCCUGGUGGGUGGGGGGACCCAGGCCUGCUGGCCCCUGUGGUGGUGAAGCCCAGAAGGUGUGAAUCAGUUUACACUGUUUAGUGUCUGAAUAAAAGUCAUAGGACAAAGAGU